GUUAGGGAGGGGGUUCACAGGUCCUGUUCUGGGCCUCGUUUCCCAGAGCCUUCGUAGUGUUAAGAUCAUCGUUAGAACCUUCUUACGAUGUAUCUUCAGUAGCCGAGGUGUUUCGCAGAUCCUUCGUAGCGUUAAGAUCAUCGUUAGAACCUUCUUACGAUGUAUCUUCAGUAGCCGAGGUGUUUCCCAGAGCCUUUGUUAGUAACGUGUAGAGCUGCCAAAGUGCAUCGUCAGAUCUCCGCUAAACAUAGAAUGAAGAUGUUUAGGCUAUCUGUCUGUCUGUGACUGCAGAUAACUUCAAAAUGAAGUUGACUACAAAUACAAAGUUGCCGAAGUAUUUUUAAUUGUGAAGGAAAAAAUGAGUGAAUGAUAAAAUUAUGCUUCAAAUUAAAACCGAGAUGACUGCAUUAAUAUAUACAUACAUGAGCCUAAAUCUACUUUAAAUCCAUUUAAUUAUAUUUUGCAACUAGGCUGUCUGUAAUCUUUGCCUCAAUGUAUUUCAUGAUGUGUGACAACUUGUGCGCAAUGAUGUGCCCAAUCUGUGAUUUAGUGCAUUAUUAUUGAGUAAGCAUAAUAAGCCGCCUCAAUAGCCUAUUUGCAGCCAUAAUUGGUAAUAUCUCUCUAGGAGCUGAUCCGUCAUCAGUAUUGUGGAAUAAUUAUGUUAAGGUAACAGAGCAGAGCUGCUUUUCUGUCGAUCCUAUCAGUAUCGACACAUGGUCUAACGACGCGCUUAGCGAACGUUCUCUCUACGUGCUUGUUUGGGAAAUCAUCGUAAUGCUUAAGUUACAUUUCAACUGGGAAACGAGGCCCUCCCACUGGGAACAGACGUCAGUUCAACGUGUAGUUUUGAUUUACAUUUGGUUGAGUUGUCAACUAAUGUGAAUUCAGUGCACUGUAAUCCCAAACAGUUGUACUAGCUCAUACGUAAUAAGGUCAUAACAGUCAAAUGUCGUUAUGCAGUUGACCAAACUAUAAAGUGUUGAACUCUGUUGAGAUUUAUGCCACUUUAAUUGAAGAGGGCUCAAUAUUUUAUAGGUAAUUUGUGUGGAACGCUCAAAAAGUUUAGGUAGUGUCAUGACGUUAUCGACGUCAUGACGUUCUGGUGGGUGGGUCAUCUCUCCCUCAGGAAAGCUGAGUCAGCCAUCUUGAAUUUGCCUUGAUGCGGGGAUGUUUGGGCCGCCCGUGUGGAUGUGGAACACAGUUUAAUUUGUUUUAAUUUGUUUGCAAUGCGCACUUUUAUGCUGCCCGCUUGAAACCACCACCACCUCCGUUUUUAUCAUUAGUCUUAUUGCCCUCGUUUUCUUAAGCGCCAUCUUAUCAUCACCUCUGAUUUGGUGUAACGUUAUCAGCGGGUUUCCUGGAUGAACUACAUUUCCCAUAAUGCAUGUUUGCCCGGGACAUUGACGGUGGAGGAAGGUCCAUGAGUUUUCGCUGUUCGCCGGUAAUGCAAGUGCGUACUGCUCAAGUGUGUGGUUGUGAGAUCAUCUCGAAAUCCUUUUAACAGUUCAGGAACAAAGUGAUGUAAAUAUGAUACGGGCCCUCGUCCUUCGUGCACUUCCUGUGUACCUGCGUGAAGAUGCCUCCAAGUUUUUCAGGACCUGUAAUUCAGCAGAUGGUCCAGACCUCACUGACACUCCGGUGGCUCUCCUGACAGUUGUCACUGAUGAUAGGUUGCUGUGGGGGAUGCUGACGGGAGAGGUUGUGUUUUCUCUAGCAGGAGGCUACACAAACGCCUCACACCGCGUGGCUGCUGCCUCUCU